UUUUUUUUUUUUUUUUUUUAAGGGCUGCACCUACAGCAUAUGGAAGUUCCCCAGCUAGGCAUCGAAUCGGAGCUGCAGCUGCCAGCCUCUACCACAGCCAUGGAAACAUGGGAUCUGAGCUAUGUCUGCGACCUACACCACAGCUCAUGGCAAUGCCAGAUCAGAUCCUUAACUCACUGAGCAAGGCCAGGGAUUAUACCCAUGUCCUCAUGGAUACUAGUCAAGUUCGUUACUGCUGAGUCACAAUGGAAACUCCUGAAAAUCUUUUAUAAUCAAAAUUAUUUGAUCUAUAGAACCAUAUUCCUGUAAAUUUGCAGAGCCUCCCUACAAAAAGUGAUUUAGGUAAAUGUGGCAAAGACAGAAAUACUUACUAAAUAUUUUAUGAGUGUGCCUUCCUUUAAAAGAAUACUUUGGAUUAAGUUUGGGCUCCAUAAGCAGUUUUGGGCAAUGAGCAGUCCUGGGCAUUUAACCCAGUAGUCACAAGGCAGCACAAGAAGGUGAAGCUGCCAUCAGACUGGAUCUCUGAGGAUUCUGUGUAAUAGAACCCCUCACUGGGCUGUGUUGGUCAUGUAACAUCGAGAGGAAAUGAAUUCCUAGUGUGAUAUGCUAUUGAGAAUUGGGGGCUAAUUGUAUAACUCAUACUGAAACCCAUCAUAGAAAUAACACAGUAACCUAAUAAGAUUCCUCAACAUCAUUGCAAUGCCUUUGCAGCUAGACUGUGGGCUGUGGAUAAAUUGCUUUUGGAUUCUGGUUGGUUGGUGAGCUAUGAGAUCCAACAGGAAUGUUUGGUCCAGCUGUUGUCUGCAAUAAUACUGAAGGUGGAAUCUUCAUUUCUCAGGAAAGAGGCUGAAUACAGAAGCUUAGUAGUAUAUAAAAGAUGUUGUAACAAUGUUUGGCAAGGUAUCACAAGAACUGGACAGUCAACAAACCUAAAUGAAAGGAAACAGAGCAGAAAUUUGGGACCUUGAAAAAGUGGGAAAGGGAUAAGUUUUAAAAAGCUUCAAUGGUUAAAGGCCCAAUAAAUACCUUUAUAUCAAUUAAAAUAUCUCAAGUUAAAGCCAGUUUUAAGGUGCACAAUUUUAAAAAAUUCUCUACUGAUUAAAGGGCUUAAGGGUAAAAUCAGAUUGCGGGUCAUGUCUCCCUAGCUAAUAGCUUCAGUAAGUGAGAAAGUUAGAGUUGGAGUGACAAAGAAAUUUAAGAAGUUUUAGGAAAUGACUUAGAAAGUGGUUACUGGUAGGUGGAUAAAUCUAAAUUAAAAACAAAUUGGAAGUCUACUGAGUAUCUGAGCAAUUUGUUUUGCAAAGAAACCAAAAGGCAGAUCAAGAAAGACUUUGACUAUCCCUAACCUCUCAUGAGCCAACUCAGGGCUGAGGAUCUCAACACUAAUUUCCACUGUGAUCAAGAAGCAUACUCAAAUACAAUGACUCACCUAACCUGUGAAGGCUACAAUGGGCAGAAGACGUCAUCCCAGACAGUAAAAUCAGUACUGAUUCCAAAUUUUCUACCAUUCCAAGGUAGGAGAACUUCUAAUAAGUAGAAUUUCAAUGUUUUUACAGACCUGUAACUAGCAUAUUUCUUAUUAUUCCCCCAUUUUAAUUGCAGUAUAGUUGAUUUACAAUGUUGUGGUAGUUUAUGAUGUACAGCAAAGUGAUUCAAUUACGUACAUAUAUGUAUUUUUUUCUAUACCAUUAUGAUUAAUUUCAAUACACUUACUGUUUAUCUUUUAUAUAUAGCAGUGUGCAUCAAUUAAUCCCAGACUCCUAAUUUAUCCCUCCCUCCCUCCUCUCCUUUCCCCUUUGGUAACCAGAAGUUUGUUUUCUGUGUCUGUGAAUUUGCUUCUGUUUUGUCAAUAACUUCAUUUGCAUCACAUUAUUUAUUUAUUUAUUUAUUUAUUUGUUGUUGUUGUUGCUAUUUCUUGGGCCGCUCCCGCGGCAUAUGGAGGUUCCCAGGCUAGGGGUCUAACCCGAGCUGUAGCCACCGGCCUACACCAGAGCCACAGCAACGCGGGAUCCGAGCCGCGUCUGCAACCUACACCACAGCUCACGGCAACGCCGGAUCGUUAACCCACUGAGCAAGGGCAGGGAUCGAGCCCGAAACCUCAUGGUUCCUAGUCGGAUUCGUUAACCACUGCGCCACGACGGGAACUCCUGCAUCACAUUUUAGAUUCCACAUGUAUGUGAUUACAUUUGCCUUUCUCUGUCUGACUUAGUAUGCUAAUCUCUGGGUCCAUUCAGGUUGUAAAUGGCAUCAUUUCUUUCUUUUAUAUGGCUGACAACAUGGAUGGAACUAGAGAAUCUCAUCCUGAGUGAAAUGAGCCAGAAAGACAAAGACAAAUACCAUAUGAUAUCACUUAUAACUGGAAUCUAAUAUCCAGCACAAAUGAACAUCUCCUCAGAAAAGAAAAUCAUGGACUUGGAGAAGAGACUUGUGGCUGCCUGAUGGGAGGGGGAGGGAGUGGGAGGGAUCGGGAGCUUGGGCUUAUCAGACACAACUUAGAAUAGAUUUACAAGGAGAUCCUGCUGAGUAGCAUUGAGAACUUUGUCUAGAUACUCAUGUUGCAACAGAACAAAGGGUGGGGAAAAAAAAAUGUAAAUUGUAAUGUAUACAUGUAAGGAUAACUUGAUCCCCUUGCUGUACAGUGGGAAAAUAAAAAAAUAAAAAAAAUAAAAAAUAAAAAUAAAAAAAGAAAUAUAUAUUGUAAAAUUUAAAAAAAAUUAUCUUUUAUUCUAUAUCAAAAGAAAAUCUAUAGUGAAUAUUUAGCAUCCCGAGGUCAAAGAUUUUUAUUAUAUGAAACAUGCUAUAUUUAUAGAUAUAACUUGUUUUACAAUUAUACCAAAUAUGCAUCUUUACACACAUAUAAAUUAGAAAUAUAUCCAGUUUAGAAAAUACAUUGACACAUUUUAGAUUGGGUCAAUUCUGUACUCAAAGCAGAAGAGACAGUAGUAUUACUUCUGUUUUUAUAAAUGAAAAAAUUGAGGUCAAGAGAUUUUAAAUGGUUUUCUAAGGUUAAAGAGUUAACAAAGAACAAAGUCAAUAUGAAAUCUGUAUAUUAUGAUGACUAGUUUGGGGGCUUCUAUUUUAUCUUUGUAUCUUAUAUUCACAAACUUUUACUAAGUAGAAAUUCGGAUGAAUUUUGAGACAAAAAAAAAAGAAUCAAAAAUAAUAAACACUUAAAAAUAUCCUGUUAAGUUAACUCAUA
ensembl:lncRNA